rnacentral:rRNA from 1 species
AUACGUAGGGAGCGAGCGUUGUCCGGAAUUACUGGGUGUAAAGGGAGCGUAGGCGGGAGUGCAAGUCAGAUGUGAAAUACCGGGGCUCAACCCCGGAGCUGCAUUUGAAACUGUGGUUCUUGAGUGAGGUAGAGGUAAGCGGAAUUCCUAGUGUAGCGGUGAAAUGCGUAGAUAUUAGGAGGAACAUCGGUGGCGAAGGCGGCUUACUGGGCCUUUACUGACGCUGAGGCACGAAAGCGUGGGGAGCAAACAGGAUUAGAUACCCUGGUAGUCCACGCUGUAAACGAUGAUGACUAGGUGUGGGGGGACUGAACCCUUCCGUGCCGCAGUUAACACAAUAAGUCAUCCACCUGGGGAGUGCGGCCGCAAGGUUGAAACUCAAAUGAAUUGACGGGG